rnacentral:lncRNA from 1 species
UCAGCACGUUGGUCCUUGGACUCAGCACGCUGGCCCUUCUCGGGGACUGUUUGUGUAAGACCCGAUCCUGGCCUCCUAGGCCACGGUCGAUGCCUCACGUCGCUCGGUCCACUUCCUGGCCGAACCUCUUAAUUUUUGCCCUUUAUUUAUAAUAUCACCUAAAGGCGAGAGCUAACUUAGAUCUUAGCUAAAGACUUCCCUAGUCAUUAAUAGCCUAGAUCCUUUCAACAGAUACGCAGCGGAUUAUUCUCUAGUAAACCAUUGGUCUAAAACCAAUCUAACAAUUGUCUGGUCGAAUCACCUUAGCCUUGGUCAGUUUACUCAACUACCAAUUAGCUUAAAGGUCCAUCCUAAACCCAAACCAAGCCAUACGACUCUGAGGUUCCAUUCCCCUAAACCAUUUUAUCUAGAUGUACAUAAGUAAAUGCUAGAUCAUACCUUUGCCACAUCUAUGGAGCUUAUUAGCUCAUCGGUCCUCCAUUGACUCAAAUUGAUCUUGCUUGACAGCUGGACAACGAUCACUCAAUGAUCUUACUUAAGGUCCUUAUCUUGAUUCCUGCAUCAAAUAACU